rnacentral:lncRNA from 1 species
AGUAGUACAACAGCGCUGAGCAGGGGAGAGGGCUGGUCCUCCUAAAACCAUUGAGCUUCCCAUCCAAUAAGAUUCAAACACGUGUGAAAGCCCAAUAACCCUCCAUCCCCGCUAUAUUAACCCCCAUCCCCACUUGACUGAAAGAUCAACAGCCCAUCCAAGUUCCCAAAUCACCCAAAAACCCUAUAUAAACUUUCCUAAUUGUUAGGGUUUUGGAGAAACUAACCUUUUUUUUCUUUGAAAAAAAAAAUUGAGAAAUGGCCAC